UUUUUAUUAUAAGUAUGUCCCAUGUAAUAUCUGGGACAUACUUAUACUCAAA
rnacentral:pre_miRNA from 1 species